CCUACGGGAGGCAGCAGUGAGGAAUAUUGGUCAAUGGCCGGAAGGCUGAACCAGCCAUGCCGCGUGAAGGGCAGUGACCUAUGGGCGUUAAACUUCUUUUGUGCGGGAGCAAGAAUGGUCAGGUGUGGCCAGACGAGAGUACCGUACGAAUAAGCAUCGGCUAACUCCGUGCCAGCAGCCGCGGGAAUACGGGGGAUGCAAGCGUUAUCCGGAGUGAUUGGGUUUAAAGGGGGCGGAGGCUGUGAGGUAAGGAAGCGGGGAAAAGCCCCCCCUCAACGGGGUGAAGUGCCAUUGAUACGGCCUUGCUGGACUGCGGAUGCCGUGGGAGGAAUGUGUGGUGUAGCGGU
rnacentral:rRNA from 1 species